CUGCGCAUGCGCAAAUAGCACACUUAAACAUUCACCCACUAAAUCAUAAUAAGCACAAUUCAUUUCAACGCAAAGGAGUAGGCCUCUAUUCUACACGUAUGAAGGCAACAGCAGUGAGUUUCCUGUUGUGUACCCCUUUCACCACCUGGGGGCAUCAUCACUCACCAUCACUACCAUCACGCAUCAGCGGCAGCACUUACCCACAGGCUAAUUUGCAGUAGAAAACGAAAACCUGUUUGUUCUGACGAGAGAAGGCUACAAGACAUUUCUAUCAAGGAUUGUGACAGCUGAAAUAUGGAGCUGCUGAAAAUCUUCUCUGUUCAGAGAAGACGUGGGGCAAGAAACGGCCACCAGAGGGAGCACACAUGCUAUGAAAAAUCAUGUAUAUCCAAUCUAGCAGUGCUCCUGAUGCGGUUAGAGGCUGUGACAAGUCUCUGGGCGGGGGAACCGAGCAGAGCGAGCAAACGGGGUGACGAAGAGGACACGACAUCUGGAGAACACGCAGAAGAAGAAUGCAGCAGUGAGAGACUGAACAUAGGACCUUCUUACCAAAGCUAAAGCCAUCUUUCUCAGCAAUAAACCAGGUCAACAAACAAAAAGCAAUUAUG
ensembl:lncRNA